AAAGAGGAAGACAGAGCUCUUACCAGGGGGAGGCAGAGAUGGCACAGCAAGGGACAUGCCCCCAGAAUGGCACCACUGCCCCAGGACAGGCCCACCCAUGGGACCAGGUUAGCAGGAACCCUGUGGGGAUGGGGUGGAAUCUGAAGGGUGAGCCUUCUUCCCAGGCUGGGUGUGGGCAAGAUGAGACUGGGGCCUCUACAUCUGAGUGCCCUCCAAACCCAGCAGUCAUGUCGUGAGUAAACAAAGAAAUCACGUUACUUCUUCCAGCUGAGCUCGGUUCUGUUGUUUCUGUGGGGAAGAGUGAAAGGAAGGUGACUGAGGGUGGCCCCCUCGACUCUAUUCCCCAUGCCAGGAAGCGGUAGGCAGGGGCCAGGGAUGGAUUUUAAAGGUAAAGUUCUUAGACCCAAUGGGAACACCAGCUGGUAAACUCUCCUCCACUCCCAAAGAAAAAGGAUUUGGGUCUUGGUUGGUUUUUGCCCACAGCCCCAGAACUGAAAGUCCGAAACUAGAUUCUCUCGAAAAGACAGUCACAGAAACCUUCAGAGACGGAGUGUGAGAAAAGCCCACCCUUCUGCCAGCUUGUGAUUUAGAAAGGUGCAUUCAUUCAACAAACAUUGACUGAGCACAUACGGGCCAGGGACGGUUCUUCACAGUGAGGAUAUAGGACGGAAAAGGCAGACAGGAGCCCUUGGCACCGAGGUUUCCAUUCUAGUGGGCCUUUAACUCUCAGACUCUCAGAGCUAACAGAAACCUCUGAUACUCUCUAACUCUACCUCAGGAAACGCAAGCCCGAGAAGGAGACUUUACAGCAGGCCGUGGACUAGGGAUUAACAUAAAAACAGCAAUGACAAAUCUCAUACACCACUCCUAUUUUACAGAUGUGAAAAAAGAGGCCCAAAGAGCUCGAGGAAUUUGCCUUAUAUCAUAUCUGCAGCAGAUGGAGAGGAUUCAAACCCAGAAUUCUUAACCAGUGCCUGGGAGAUCUUCCACAAUCUUAACAAUUACCCUCCACCACCCCUUGGGCCCUCUGUCCCCAGGAGCCUGGCCAGCCAAGACUCACAUCCUCAGACUCAAAGGAAACUGAUGUUUCAGAAAGAUACCCUGUAUUUAUCCUGUGGCACUCAAAGUACCCCAGGUGGAGAUGAGAUGAGGAAUAUUCAAGCUGUCAAGUUCAGUUUCCCAAGAUCUGUUCCACAGAAGAUAAGCAGAUCUCACUCCAGAAACCACUGACUGAGGGGCACUCUGGUCCCAGAACAAUGCAGAAUUCAAAUCUGAGGUGGGGAACUCAGAAACAAUGUUCGAGUCUCUCUGGAGAGUAGAAGCCUGGGAGAAAACCAAACCCAACCCGUUCUCCCAUUGCCACCCAGGGACACUGUCAAUGUGUUGAGCUCAUGGGGGAGGUGUCGGCUUUUCACACUGUCAGUGUCUGUGUUAAGGAAGUAAGGCAGCCUGAAACCUGUCUCUCCUAGGUCCCACAGUCCCCAAUCCCCUUCCAGCUGGAAACCUGUGCUAUAACCAGAGGAACCAGAAAUGGGCAAGAACACUCAGGGGACUGGGUCCUAAGACCAAAGACCAGUCUCGUGGCAGUAAUGACAGUUCCUAGAGGGACUGUGACAUCACUACAUUCCACUCCUCAGUGGAGUGGUGGGGAG
ensembl:lncRNA